CGCGGAGCCGCCGCCCUCGGCGGACUGGCCGGUAGGGAGCGCUGCGCGCUCGGCGCCGCCCCCCUCACAGCCGCGGCCUCUCUGCGCCGCGCCGCCGCCUCGCUGAGCGGGCCGGGCGCCAUGGCGGUGCCGGUGCUGCCGGGCUCGGGGGUGGCGUUCCGGCGGGUGUUGGCGCACUUCCCGCAGGAGCUCAGCCUGGCCUUCGCCUACGGCUCCGGCGUCUUCCGGCAGACGGGGGCCUCGGCCGGGCACAGCGAGAACAAUAUGUUGGACUUCGUGUUUGCUGUUGAUGAUUCUGUUACGUGGCAUAUGAUGAACUUGUUAAAGAACAGGAGUCAUUAUUCCUUCCUAAAAGUUUUUGGGCCAAAGCAGAUAAGUAAUAUACAGAGCUAUGGAGCAGGGAUUUACUACAAUACUUUAGUGCCAUGUAAUGGUAGGAUGAUUAAAUAUGGUGUAAUUAGCACUGAUGCCCUGAUUGAUGACUUAUUUCACUGGAAAACCCUCUAUGUUGCUGGACGCCUACAAAAACCGGUGAAAAUACUGACACAGAAUGAGAAUGGCAAGCUGCAAGCUGCUCUUGUUAGCAAUCUGAAGAGUGCAGUCACAGCAGCCUUUCUCAUGUUACCAGAAAGUUUCUCUGAAGAAGACCUCUAUAUGCAGAUUGCAGGACUCUCCUAUUCUGGUGAUUUCAGAAUGAUAAUAGGAGAAGACAAAUCAAAGGUGCAGAACAUAGUGAAACCUAGUGUUCCCCAUUUUCAGAAGCUGUACGAUAACAUAUUACAGGACUGCCCUCAAGUGGUGUAUAAGCACCAUCUGGGAAGGUUAGAGAUUGAUAAAAGUCCAGAAGGUCAGUUCGCACAACUAAUGGCUUUGCCAAGGACUCUACAACAAAAGAUAACUUCUCUGGUAGACCCUCCUGGAAAAAACAGAGAUGUGGAAGAAAUUUUAAUGCAAGUUGCUCAUGACCCUGAUUGCGGAUUCGUGGUUCAUCAAGGCAUUUCGGGAAUUGUGAGAUCUUCCAGUCUAGUGCAGAGUGCUAAAACCAUAUUAACAGCUGGGGCAAAGAAAUCUGCAACUUACAGUAUGAAGAAAUUAUAUAAAAUGACAAAGGGAUGGUUAAAGAAGACAUCCUGAGUCUUGACAUACUGUAUAUGAACGUUUCCCUGCUGCUGUGCGGAUGAUAUGACAGAAUAGGGGAAUGCUGAGUGGAAACAGUAGCUCUGAUAAAUAAACAGACCAGGGAAGAUAUUAAACUAGUAUUACAAAUGAUGUGUGGACUUCUGUCACUGGCUUGUUCCCUUACUAGGAGCACGCUCCGGAAAGGGACUGAGCAGCUGCUGCUCCCAUUAUUUGAAAACUACUGGAAAACUUGAAGAAAACAGCAAUUUGUGUUCAAUAAAAGACAGAUGAGUUGCAUCCUUGAAUAUUGUCUGAAAUAGCUAUUGAUUGGGAUGGAAGGAAGGCACAUGGGAGAAAGAAAGCUUACAAGGUGUAGCAGGAUCCAGUGAGGAAUGGAGACUCCAUUGGAUGUUUUGUCGAGAGCAGCAUCUCUAGUACAUGCUGAUGACGAGAAACGAACCCAGACUUUAUUUAUGGUAUGCCAUUCAAAUUCUGACCUGAAGGAGGAAGGACCUGAACAUAGGUUUUCCAGUACAAGAUAAGUGUCCUAAUUAAUGGCUAAUGUCCUAAUUAAAUAAAAGAAGGAUACUGUCAACUCCUUCUCUCUGUUUUACUAACUCACCCCUUUUGUUCUGUUGUAAAAAUUCAAUGCUUUAUUUCAUGCUAAAGAGAACAAAUUUCUCCCCCAAUAAACACCAAAUUGUUUUGCUUUUGUCCAAGCUUUUAAAUUUUCCCCUCCUUUGCUAUUGAAUCAAAAAUCAGCUACUUGUUUAAGCGUAAUCUUGGCUACAAAUCUGCUAUGGAACAAUGAACAAUGUCACUACAGAAACUUCUGACAUUCAUAAGCCAAAAAGGAGAAUUGCUUCUGAUUUUGCAAAUUGUGAAUGUGAUUUAUUACACUUCUCUGCUGUUUUUUGUUGUUUUUUUUUCCACUUCCGUUUGGAUUUUAAACUUAGUGACGCAUUUAUGGAAAGGCCUUAAAAAACCCUAAACUGUAUUACACAGUUAAUUUUUGUCUGUCUGCUACAACAAUAUUGUAUUAGGUGAUAAUGCUUCGAUAACACUGGAGUUAAAUUUGGUUUAAUGUUAGAAUUUAAUUUGGUUUAGAUAUGUUUAUUAUUUUGUCAGUGAUAGAAAUUGUGAAGAGUAGUUGGACAGAAGUAGUCUUUUCUGUGUUCUUGUGCUCUUGUUUUAAUUGGUUACAUUUUAUCAGGCACACUAAGUUUUAUUUUCCUGAAACUGUGGCAAUAGCAAGUAACUCUUUUUGUUUUCUGGGUCAUGCCUAUGUUGCCUGUUUGGUUCAUAUGAGAACAGCUGUGUAUAACAGAUGUAACUUUACUACUGUAAAUCUCUGGCCUUUAAUUGCUUUCUUCAGAGACAGAAUAUUUGGCUCGUAAUAGCAGAAGAACUACAGUUUGUCUAUGGCUCUGUCUCUUCUUCCAGUAUUUGUAUACUGGUACAUUCCACCAGGACCCCCAGCCCUUCUCUGCAGAGCUGCUUCCCAGCAGGUCAGCCCCCAGCCUGUACUGGUGCCUGGGGUUAUUCCUCCCUAGGGGCAGGACUCUGCCCUUCCCCUUGUUGAACUCCAUGAGGUUCCUCUCUGCCCAUCUCUCCAGCCUGUCCAGGUCCCUCAGAAUGGCAGGCAGCCCUCUGGGGUAUCAGCCAGUCCUCCCAGUUCUGUGCCAUCAGCAAACUUGCUGAGGGUUCACUCUGUCCCAUCAUCCAGGUCACUGAUGAGUAAGUUGAACACGAUUGGAGCCAGUAUUGACCCCUGGGGGACACCGCUAGCUCCAGGCCUCCAACUAGACUUUGCACCACUGAUCUCUGAGCUCUGCCUCAGAAGACCAAAGAAAAGAAUGAGCUUUAAGCAAAUGUCAAUUACAAACUCUCAGCAGGAAAUUGUUAGCUUCCAAAAUUAGAAACAUUUGUAUCAUAAUGUAUUUUCGGGGAGACUGUGAUUUGCUUCUCUGUUGGAAUAGAUCUGCCUUACCAGACCAGCACUGUGAUUCAUCUUGUGACUUGCAGAAGUCUACUCAGUAUUUCAAAGAAAGUUUUUUUUUCUGAACCAUGGACAGUUACUUGUUGGCACGUACCUGAAGCAUCAGUUUAGCCUGUCUAAAAUAACUGUGAUGGAAUGUAAUGUGGAUGUUAAAUCUUCAUUGGGAUUUCUGCAAGUUUUUUGUGUCUUUGUUUCAUAAAUUGAUCCUGGAUUAUGUGAAAGAACAUGUAGUAGACUUGCAUGUGUGAAUUAUUACUGUGCUUGUUAUGGUACUCAAUAAUGUGGGUUCCCCUUGGCUCCAUGACGAAACCUUGCAACACUGGCUUAUGUAUGCAUAUUUUGUGACUCCUCUAUGUGAAAAUUUCAGUAAAUAAUAAAACAAUUCCCAUUAAUAUAA